CCGAGAUUGAAAAGUUAGCGCUUGAAAUUCCUGAUCAUGUUGGAGGAUUUCAUAAAGUACUUUUAAAGCUGUAUUUUUCUUAGGGAAACAAAUCCUAAUUGCUUGUUGCUGGAGAAGGAAGGAUACUCUACCUUCAGGAGAAGUAAACUGGUUUGAGUUCACUGAUCCACUGGUAUCCAAGGUCAGUGAAAUAAUCUGAUUGGAUUGCUCUCUCAACCUGAUGAACUGCCACAAACAGCAAAUGGGGGAACUGUGGUGAGCAAUCAGACCUACACAGUGCAGUGCAUUUUCCCACACUAUGUAAAGAGUUCAACUCAAUAAUAUCCUGGCCAGAGAGUUCCAUAGAUGGAUGACAGAGUGCAUUGAAAUGUAUUAGUGUGAACAAGAAAACAAUAUUCAGUUUACACUCCAGUUCCAGACUGAAGGUGGAACACGGCAGCGGGCACUCCAUUGACACAUCACACAGACUUCUCAUGCAAACCAUUCCCUGGCCUAAAGAAAGAUGUGUUCAAGGCUGCAGUUGAGAAGACCAUGAUUUCUAGGCAAACCUUCUUUGAUUAUGUGAACUUCACUUUAUUAACCGGACUCCAACCCUAGGGGCUGGCAACUAUCAUUCAUGUCAUUUUACAGAUAAAAGAAGUUGCAUAAGGUCACUGCUAGCAGAGGUGGGAAUAUGGUUUCCCACCAUGGUAGUGCCCACAUCUCUAAUAUGCUACACUCAAGUCCCAUUCAGUUAUCCAUACUGCCUUUUGGAGUGAAUAUGCCAAUUCUCUACACUUGUCUAUUGUGUCUUUAGUCCCUGUUCCAAACCCUAAUUUGAUUAACCUCUUAGAGCUAGGAAGAGAGCCCAGAAAUACUGAGGGAUGCAACUGUUUGCUUGAGCACAGCAGAAUGUUGGAACCCACCGGCAAAGUGUGCCAAAUUAACUAGUAGAGUCUAUGGGUAAAUCUAGAGAUCUCGAGUUCAAGCCCUCAUAAGUAGCUGCCAGAAGCCAUCAAAAGCAAAGUUUUCUAUCUAUCUAGUUUGUCAGCUGAACCCAUCUGAUGUUCUAAAGUCAAAGUGGGUUUUCUGGUCAGAAAAGUAAAACAGGAAACAGAAUUACCCCCGCCCCCAAUCAAUUUUAUUCUGUUCUCCCCAGAUCUGCUUGCCAUAGGCUCUAUUCUGAGCCCAGAUGCAUACCUAGGCAGGAGAAUAACGACAGGGGAGGGAGGCAGAGGAAGAGAGGGUGUAUAAGUAGUCCCAUUACUCUCACCUGCCUGUGCUACCUGCACUGACAUAGCCAGCAUGGUGGAGGGAAAGAACCAUUGUUGCUGGGCUGCCACUGCUCUUAUUCUUUAGGCUAGUUUCUCAUCAACAAAACUAUUAACUCAGUUCUAAUUACAGGAUUGUUAUUACUGAUGAGCCAGGAAGAACAUGGCUUGCUUUUCAGUUUCCAGGGGGAGUUUGCAGGGCUGGCUGUUAGAAAGACAUCUUUUUCCUUGUAAGCUGGACAAAUUUUGAUUUAGAA